rnacentral:rRNA from 1 species
GAUGAACGCUGGCGGCGUGCCUAAUACAUGCAAGUCGAGCGAACGGACGAGAAGCUUGCUUCUCUGAUGUUAGCGGCGGACGGGUGAGUAACACGUGGAUAACCUACCUAUAAGACUGGGAUAACUUCGGGAAACCGGAACUAAUACCGGAUGAUAUUUUGAACCGCAUGGUUCAAAAGUGAAAGACGGUCUUGCUGUCACUUAUAGAUGGAUCCGCGCUGCAUUAGCUAGUUGGUAAGGUAACGGCUUACCAAGGCAACGAUGCAUAGCCGACCUGAGAGGGUGAUCGGCCACACUGGAACUGAGACACGGUCCAGACUCCUACGGGAGGCAGCAGUAGGGAAUCUUCCGCAAUGGGCGAAAGCCUGACGGAGCAACGCCGCGUGAGUGAUGAAGGUCUUCGGAUCGUAAAACUCUGUUAUUAGGGAAGAACAUAUGUGUAAGUAACUGUACACAUCUUGACGGUACCUAAUCAGAAAGCCUCGGCUAACUACGUG